rnacentral:rRNA from 1 species
CCUUUGUACACACCGCCCGUCGCUACUACCGAUUGAAUGGCUUAGUGAGGUCUCCGGAUUGGCUUUGGGGAGCCGGCAACGGCACCCUAUUGCUGAGAAGCUGAUCAAACUUGGUCAUUUAGAGG